ACUGCUCAAACGAACAUGUACUAUUCAAUUUUAUGAUGUUCGAUCCCAUGGAACAAUCGAUAUUUUCGAUUGUUUAUGUGGUUGUACCGAUUGCCACUCCGUGUGUUUAUAGGUGGGAGAGUUCGAUUGGUAGUUCGAGCCAGUACGAUCACAGAAAGGGCUGGGUUGAGAAGUUUCAGCAUUGAACAGAAGAUGUUUUUGACGUUUCGACGCCGGUAUCAUUUUAUUCUAUUUUUUCUCAAAACGACGUAUCAACAGAAUGGAUUCAUAAUUCAACUAACAACUUUUGAUGAUGUGAUGAAGACCAAUGGAAUGUUGAGACAUCAUUUUCCUAUUUAAGUGCAAGUUUUUGAUGUAAUUGUUUCACGUAGUGAAAGAGAUGUAGCUAAAUAAGUAUUUCGAACUAAUUUUCUAAGCAUUUUAUAUUAUUAAACAACGUCUUGGCAAAAAUUGUUGUACACUAGAGAUAAAACGAAUGAAGGACACUGGCUUAAAGAGACUGGUUUUAAUUUUGGGCUGGGUGGAGGCUUCAGUCUUCAUCUGGCAAUCCUGAUUUAGGUUUACCGUGAUUUCUCGAAAUUACUUUAGGCAAAUGCUGGGAUGGUUACUACUGACGGGCCGCGGCCGACUUCGUGCCCCAUUAUUGUCAAACUAAACGAACUCCUCCUGCAUCAUAAGUUAGAAAAUGGCAGGUUCUGAUGCUGAGCAGUUCUCUCUGAGAUGGAACAACUUUCACAGCAAUCUUGUAUCAGGCUUCCAUGCUCUCCUGCAAGAAGUAGAACUGGUGGAUGUUACCCUUGCAGCUGAGGGACAGUUCAUUCAAGCACAUAAAAUUGUGCUUUCAGUUUGCAGUCCAUAUUUCAAGCAACUAUUUCAGGUAAACCCAUGCAAACAUCCAAUUGUUAUCUUGAAGGAUGUGGGUCACAAAGAACUGAUUGCAAUUCUGCAGUUCAUGUACCAGGGAGAAGUUAACGUUCGUCAGGAAGAACUUGCCGAUUUCUUAAAAACUGCUGAACUCCUGCAGAUCAAAGGCUUAACUGGAAACGAUAAUAAUCGAGAGCCAGAUAGAACACCUUGCACAACUCCUCAACCAUCACCUCAUCGGCAACCAGGAUCUCACAUUCGUGUAUCAGAUGUCAGAUCUGAGGCACACUUAUCAGAAGUGUCACAAGGAUAUCCUUCUGGAAAUGAUGCCAAUAUCGAUCUGGCUUCUGCUGUGAGUGAGGAAAGUGCAUCUCCAGCUCGACCAACCAAACGGCUGCAUAGUGAUGCAUCUGUUAGCUCAAGCACAUUAUCACAUAGGAAGGAACAAAAGGAGGAAGAAUUUGUUCAGAAAAUCCCCAAGGUUGAACCCAUCGAUCUUGACUUGGAUGCAGAAAUAACAAGUGAUCAAAUCUCUCCUGAAGGGCUCCAGCAAUUCCUUACAAAUUCUGGAAAGAGUACACAUCCACAACAAAAUAUUUCAGCAGGUGGAAAUGGAAACAGUACCCCAGCAAUAGCACAGAGUCAGUUGAUUCACCCUUCUUCCAUCUCACGCCAUGGACAGGUGUCUGAAACUUCAGUUGUUUCAGUGCAGAGUGCGAGUCAAGUGUACACAGUGUGUCGUUUCUGUGGCAAGAGGAUACACAAAAACAACCUCAGUAGACACAUUAAGGACCGUCAUUUGCCAAAUGAAGCACGUGAAUGUCAGUACUGCAAUAGAGUGUUCCGCACAGAGAACAGUUUGCAGAGUCAUCUAUCAGUUUACCACAGAUCACAGUACAAGAAAGCAAACACAGGGAUACAGUAAAGCAGUGUAUGGCAGCCAGGUGUAUAAAGGUGGUAGGAGUUCUCUUUCUUUUGACUGUCUUUCAGAUGAACACCUAUGAAGACAAUCCAGCAAUGUUUGCAUGGAAACCAAUGCGGCGACAGGACUUCAGAUGCCCCUUAUGUGAAAAAAAGUUUGUUAAUAAAUCAAAUCUCAACAUUCAUGUGCGUGAUAAACAUGGUGAAGG
rnacentral:misc_RNA from 1 species